GGACGAACGCUGGCGGCGUGCUUAACACAUGCAAGUCGAACGGUGACCCAGGGCUUGCCCUGGUGAUCAGUGGCGAACGGGUGAGUAACACGUGGGCAACCUGCCCCUGACUUCGGGAUAACUCCUCGAAAGAGGAGCUAAUACCGGAUACGACCACUUCGGACAUCCGAUGGUGGUGGAAAGUUUUUCGGUCAGGGAUGGGCCCGCGGCCUAUCAGCUAGUUGGUGGGGUAAUGGCCUACCAAGGCGACGACGGGUAGCCGGCCUGAGAGGGCGACCGGCCACACUGGGACUGAGACACGGCCCAGACUCCUACGGGAGGCAGCAGUGGGGAAUAUUGCGCAAUGGGCGAAAGCCUGACGCGGCGACGCCGCGUGAGGGAUGAAGGCCUUCGGGUUGUAAACCUCUUUCAGCAGGGACGAAGCGAAAGUGACGGUACCUGCAGAAGAAGCACCGGCUAACUACGUG
rnacentral:rRNA from 1 species